AUGCUGCAGGGAGGAGAGCUUGACCCAGUGACAAUGGUUCAUGACUGCUACAGUGUGGAGAAUUAUCUGAAAGCAUAUGGAUACACUCUGGUUCCACUUAAAGAUCCAAAGCAUUGGGAGAAACAGAAUGGAGACAAAGUAUAUCCACCAGUUUUCACUAAACAGUUGGGAAGGCCAAAGAAAAACAGGAAGAAAACACCAGAAGAGAAGAGAAGCAGGAAUGGUGUUAGAUAUUUGAACAAAAAAGGUGUGACAAUGCACUGCUCAAUUUGUGGCAGAGCUGACCACAACAGGAAAGGGCACUACAGGUGGCAGGAAGCACUAGUUGCAGAAGGAGUAGAGCUUGUUGAUGAUAACUAUGAUGAUCCAACAUUUCUUCAGGUAUGCUUCUGUUGCAUCUCAUUUUGCACAGUUGGCUCUAAUGCAUGA
rnacentral:rRNA from 1 species